rnacentral:rRNA from 1 species
GAUGACGCUGGCGGCGUGCCUAAUACAUGCAAGUCGAGCGAGCGGCGGACGGGUGAGUAAUGUCUGGGAAACUGCCUGAUGGAGGGGGAUAACUACUGGAAACGGUAGCUAAUACCGCAUACCAUCGGAUGUGCCCAGAUGGGAUUAGCUUGUAGGUGAGGUAACGGCUCACCUAGGCGACGAUCCCUAGCUGGGCUGAGAGGAUGACCAGCAACACGGGAACUGAGCCACGGUCAAGACUCCUACGGGAGGCAGCAGUGGGGAAUAUUGCACAAGGGGCGCAAGCCUGAUGCAGCCAUGCCGCGUGUAUGAAGAAGGCCUUCGGGUUGUAAAGUACUUUCAGCGGGGAGGCGUUACCCGCAGAAGAAGCACCGGCUAACUACGUGCCAGCAGCCGCGGUAAUUC